rnacentral:rRNA from 1 species
GGAUAACCUGCCCUUAGGUCUGGCAUAACCCCGGGAAACUGGGGAUAAUUCCGGAUAGAUCAUGGAUGCUGGAAUGCACCGUGAUCCAAAGCUUUUGUGCCUAAGGAUGGGUCUGCGGUCUAUCAGGUCGUAGUGGGUGUAAAGUACCUACUAGCCUACGACGGAUACGGGUUGUGAGAGCAAGAGCCCGGAGAUGGAUUCUGAGACAUGAAUCCAGGCCCUACGGGGCGCAGCAGGCGCGAAAACUUUACACUGCGGGAAACCGCGAUAAGGGAACACCGAGUGCCAGCAUCCUAUGUUGGCUGUCCACAUGUGUAAAUAACAUGUGUUAGCAAGGGCCGGGCAAGACCGGUGCCAGCCGCCGCGGUAACACCGGCGGCCCGAGUGGUGGCCACUAUUAUUGGGUCUAAAGGGUCCGUAGCCGGUUUGGUCAGUCUUCCGGGAAAUCUGACGGCUUAACCGUUAGGCUUCCGGGGGAUACUGCCAGACUUGGGACCGGGAGAGGUAAGAGGUACUACGGGGGUAGGAGUGAAAUCUUGUAAUCCCUGUGGGACCACCAGUGGCGAAGGCGUCUUACCAGAACGGGUCCGACGGUGAGGGACGAAAGCUGGGGGCACGAACCGGAUUAGAUACCCGGGUAGUCCCAGCCGUAAACGAUGCUCGCUAGGUGUCAGGC